GUGCUUGCUUUGGCAGCACAUAUACUAAAGUCGGAAUGAUACAGAGAUUAGCACUGCCCCUGCGCAUGGAUGACACACAGACUCCUAAAGCAUUCCAUUUUUUU
ensembl:snRNA U6 U6 spliceosomal RNA